AUUGAACGCUGGCGGAAUGCUUUACACAUGCAAGUCGAGCGGCAGCGCGGGGCAACCUGGCGGCGAGCGGCGAACGGGUGAGUAAUACAUCGGAACGUACCCAGUUGUGGGGGAUAGCCCGGCGAAAGCCGGAUUAAUACCGCAUACGACCUGAGGGUGAAAGGGGGGGAUCGCAAGACCUCUCGCAGUUGGAGCGGCCGAUGGCGGAUUAGCUAGUUGGUAGGGUAAAGGCCUACCAAGGCGACGAUCCGUAGCGGGUCUGAGAGGACGACCCGCCACACUGGAACUGAGACACGGUCCAGACUCCUACGGGAGGCAGCAGUGGGGAAUUUUGGACAAUGGGGGCAACCCUGAUCCAGCCAUUCCGCGUGAGUGAAGAAGGCCUUCGGGUUGUAAAGCUCUUUCGGCAGGAACGAAACGGUCCUUUCUAAUACAAAGGGCUAAUGACGGUACCUGAAGAAGAAGCACCGGCUAACUACGUGCCAGCCGCCGCCGUAA
rnacentral:rRNA from 1 species